rnacentral:rRNA from 1 species
UACGUAGGGGGCUAGCGUUGUCCGGAAUCAUUGGGCGUAAAGAGCGUGUAGGCGGCCAGGUAGGUCUGCUGUGAAAACUCGAGGCUCAACCUCGAGACGUCGGCGGAAACCAUCUGGCUAGAGUCCGGAAGAGGAGAGUGGAAUUCCUGGUGUAGCGGUGAAAUGCGCAGAUAUCAGGAGGAACACCGGUGGCGAAGGCGGGUCUCUGGGCCGAUACUGACGCUGAGGAGCGAAAGCAUGGGGAGCGAACAGG